CCCGCCCCAGUGGCCUGAGUGGAGCCCCUUCUGCACCUCUCCACCUCACCCCUCUGCUGUCCAGCUCAGAUGGCAGGGAGGGGCCAGAGUAGGACGGUGUGGGAAGAGGACUGAACCCUUCCCUUCUCAUCCCACCCGGCCACGUGUGUGUGGCCACCCCUGCCACUGCUCUGCCGACUCCAUGGCACCUUCCAUGUGCCACUGACCACGGGGCAGCACUGAGAAGGGUGACAAGGAUAUGCCAGCCUUCAGGCUUGCAGUGCCGAGAAGGGGAAGACCAGGCACCGGUGAUGUCAACCAGGGAAUUAAGCAAGCAGAGGAGCCGAUAACAUCACCCCGCAAGGCUCGCCGUGGGCAAGGUGACUCAUCGAAGACGGGCCCCACAAGCACAGGGUGAUUGUUGUUGUGCCCAGCCUGUAGGACUAAGGAGGAAGAAGGGGGCCUGGACGGGUUCCUCACCGAGUCCUCCGCUCGGUGGAGAGGUCUCAGAACACAGUGUCCUCUGCCUUCAGAGCUCCCUGCUGGCUCAGGAAACAGCCCUCCCUCCUGCUGUGGUGAUAAUCUCUGUCCGCAGUGUUUGGUGUGUGUUUGUGGGGUAUGUCUGGGUGAUUUCCCCACCCGCAUCCCACAGGGGUGCUCCAGGUACUAGAGAUUGCUAACAGCAGAACGCUCGCUCCCCCUGGUUGGACGACCGUCUGUGGAGACAAUGCCACCGGAUGGCAAACUGCUAACCGCGACCACGUGGCGUCCUCAUGGUGGGUACAGCCUGUUCCUCCUGCUGCAGACACCUGUCGAGCUGCCUCGACUCCUCGCUCCCUCACGCCCUCCGGUCUGCUGAAGGGGCCAAAACUGUUGUGUUCUUCCCAUCCCCAGAGUCACCUUGUAUUGUCGUCCAAGUUGAGAGCUGAACAACUGGAGGGGACACCAUUUACUUUACAGUCUAUGUGCCAGACCUCAUGUCUGCGCAUGCUGGCUCUGCCCCUUCUCUUUCCUAAAUUACUUCUCACUCCCCACCCCCACCUAGAAUUAUCUAUUUGGUUUGCCCUUAGCAAGUUCAUCUUUACACUAAACUAUCCCCCCAUAAAGCAUAAGACUCUUCCUUUA